GAUGAAGAACGUAGCAAAAUGCGAUACUUGGUGUGAAUUGCAGAAUCCCGUGAACCAUCGAGUUUUUGAACGCAAGUUGCGCCCGAAGCCUUUUGGCCGAGGGCACGUCUGCCUGGGCGUCACGCAUCGCGUCGCCCCCCACAAUUCUCUGUAAAGGGAACUCGUGUUUUGGGGGCGGAUAUUGGUCUCCUGUGCUCAUGGCGUGGUUGGCCGAAAUAGGAGUCCCUUCGAUGGACGCACGAACUAGUGGUGGUCGUAAAAACCCUCGUCUUUUGUUUCGUGCUGUUAGUCGCAAGGGAAACUCUAAGAAAACCCCAACGUGUCGGCUUUUGACGGCGCUUCGACCGCGACCCCAGGUCAGGCGGGACUACCCGCUGAGUUUAAGCAUAUCAUAAGCGGAGGA
rnacentral:misc_RNA from 1 species